rnacentral:rRNA from 1 species
UACGAAGGGUGCAAGCGUUACUCGGAAUUACUGGGCGUAAAGCGUGCGUAGGUGGUUCGUUAAGUCUGAUGUGAAAGCCCUGGGCUCAACCUGGGAAUGGCAUUGGAAACUGGCGACCUAGAGUGCGGUAGAGGGUAGUGGAAUUCCCAGUGUAGCAGUGAAAUGCGUAGAGAUCGGGAGGAACAUCUGUGGCGAAGGCGACUGCCUGGACCAGCACUGACACUGAGGCACGAAAGCGUGGGGAGCAAACAGG